UACGGGGGGAUGCGAGCGUUAUCCGGAUUUAUUGGGUUUAAAGGGUGCGUAGGCGGCGCUUCAGGUCAGCGGUGAAAUACCGGGGCUCAACCCCGGGGCUGCCGUUGAAACCGGAGCGCUAGAAUUCCGAUGCCGUCGGAGGAAUGUGUGGUGUAGCGGUGAAAUGCAUAGAUAUCACACAGAACACCGAUUGCGAAGGCAUCUGACGAAUCGGAGAUUGACGCUGAUGCACGAA
rnacentral:rRNA from 1 species